rnacentral:rRNA from 1 species
UACAUGGGGUGCAAACGUUGCUCGGAAUUAUUGGGCGUAAAGCGCACGUAGGCGGUUCGUUAAGUCGGAUGUGAAAGCCCUCGGCUCAACUGAGGAAGUGCACCCGAAACUGACGAGCUUGAGUACGAAAGAGGAUCGCGGAAUUCCCGGUGUAGAGGUGAAAUUCGUAGAUAUCGGGAGGAACACCGGCGGCGAAGGCGGCGACCUGGGUAGAUACUGACGCUGAGGCGCGAAAGCGUGGGGAGCAAACAGG